GCAGUUAUGGGAUGCAGAACUUGUGCGAGAGAUCUCAUCACAUCCUUCUGUCUCAAGGGUGGUCACAUUAGGAACUCUGUUUGCCCUAGAACUACAAGCAGAUGGGUCUAAUGCUGGGUACGCAUCUGUAUAUGCAAGUUCUCUUCUUCAGAUGCUCCGGGAGGAUGGUGUGUACAUGAGGCCCCUGGGAAAUGUCAUAUAUCUCAUGUGUGGGCCCUGCACAUCCCCUGAAAUCUGCAGGCAACAAGUCAUCAAACUCUACAGGAGGCUUGAAGAGUUCACAAAUCAAAAUCAACUUGGAAAAUGAGAUUGCGUCCUCAAAUUUGUAUUAAACUUGGAGAUUAGUUAUACUCCUUCCCAGAGUCAAGAGUUCCGUCUUGCCUUGCUCUUUGCUACUUCCACUCGAGCGUACUGGUCCAACCCAGGUUUUACUACUUUAUAUAUUUAAUAUUAAAUAAAUAUGCUUCAAAUUAAAA